ACAAGCCUCACCACAUCUGACGCAGUUGGCAGUCUUUGUUCAGAACAGUUACAGUGCUAAGUACAAAAUUAAUCACUUAGACACAGGUUUAUGCUGACUUUUACCUGGAAACCGGUGGCCUCGUCAAACGCAGGAUAAAGAAGAUGGAGACGCAUUCGUAGAGCAGACUAGAGAGCCAUGUGAUAAUGCUGCUAUUUCAGCCAGCACCAAGGAAUGGGCCUCUGACACUGAACAGGAGAAUGCUCUGUGUCCGUUAGAGUAAUGAUAUUGUCUGGAGAAAUAAAGCCACAGCAACAGGAUUCCAAGAAGGAGAAGAGAUAGGAGAUUCCCCAUUAUCCCAUGUGCCAUUGCUGAGGCUAAAGAAAAGUCCUUAUUAGUUAGCCGAUGGCAGAGGUGCCGUUCUACAGUCAUCACUGCAGAAGAGAGAGGCCUAAACCAACUCCUAAUCGAUCGAGACACUUCUGAACUUUGGGGAAGAUCAAAUUCAUCACCAGCCUGUCACCCUCAUGUGCCAAUUGCUGUUGCUGGUCAGGUUGGUGUCCCAAGGUGGAGAAAGUGACACAGCACAAGUAAGGACACUCUGGGGGAUUUGGGAAAAUAAGUUUGUUUGGUUGGUUUUUUGCUAACAAACAUUUAAACAAGGCAAAAAGUAGUGCUAUAAAUGCAGAAGCACUCAGUUAGAUGACAGUUGGAUAAGGGCAUUGCUCUCAGCUUCUACUGGUGUGUUAGUAUCUUUCUUUUUUGUAUGCCAUCUAUUCAAGCAGUUCUGCAAAGCGUAUCUAGUCACAAAGGCUCGGCAAAGUACCUAAGCAUAUGCCUAACAGCUUAAAAAAGUUAGAUAUGUGCUUAAGUACCUUGGCAAAUCACAGCCCAAAUGCUUACUGACUAAGAGCCCAUAAAGUCCUGAGUGCCGCUGAUUCCCAUGGACUUCAAUGGGAGUCGACAGCUCUCAGACUUCCAGGCCUGAGCCCAAAGCUAGAGAUUUUCAAAAUAAUUCAGGCCUGGGGUUUAUCUCUGGUCAGCUCAAGAGCUCGCCUAGGGGGUUAUAACGGGCUGUUUCCCCUAGGCACAACUUCAAGGGAGUCCUUGAUCAAUUAAUUGGUAUGCCAGAUGGCUUCUGGUUUCCACCGGAGGAUAAUUCUGGCUUGCAAGCAGCACAGCAGUAUGAAUGAAUGACUCUGGAACAGAUCAGCUUUACUUUUGCAACGUAAGUGCAAGUUGCACCUUGGAGAUUGCGCGGGGUAGGUUUACCAGUGACACAGAAUCUAAAGAACCUCCUCCUCUCUUUGGCCUGUUUUCUUUUUGUCUCUUCUCUUUCUUCAUUCAGAAGAAGCUUUUGCCACACCAGAUGGUAAUUCAGUUUCUGACUUGAUGGUGAGAGUGCCAGACAUAACACGCGUUUGUCGCCAAACUGGUAAAAAGGAUGAUUUACCAGCUUGUUUUCCUUCCAUUGGAUUACAUUUCUUUUGGAAGAGAAAGUAAUUUUAAUUAGAGCUGGAUAAGAACGAGAAUAAAUACAGCGAGAUGCAAAAAGUAACACUCUGUAAGGGCUGAGAGGGGAGGGAGAACCAUAUUCAGCAAAGUAAUGUCUAGGAGAGCUCUGUGUUUAGUUAGGUGGGUCCCCAUGGCUUUCGAUGCUUCUCACUAGCAGCUCCCCUCACAUCCCAUCCUUCACAUGGGUCAUGAUACAUUAAUAUGACUGGCAUACUUAGCAUGUACUAGGUGUCUUCCAAACAAUGAGGGAAACCCAGGCCCUGCCCGAGGACUGCAUAUUCUAAAGAGAUAAGGACACAGGACGGGUGGGGAGAUGGGAUAACGCAUACUGGACAAGCAGACCGAUCAGGGUCUUCUGACCCUGCAUUUUUUCCUGCCCUGAAACAGAUGCAUUCAGGAUGUUGUUGUUGUUGUUUUUUUUAAAUAUGCAUUGACAAUGGGUCCAAUAUGCAAAGCUGACAUCAGCAUGCAAUCUAGAUUUUGAAGCCACAAACUUCAGCUGUAUUCUGAUCUUGGGCUUUGGUUUGGCCUAUUAUAUAGAGAUAGGAGUCAGAUGCAAAGGACCAGAUUCAGAGAUGAUGGAUGAAGUGGCACAAGUUGGAUCUCUUAGACGCCCUUUAAUCUCUUCCUUACCUGUGAGUAAGGUGCAAUAUGAUUGUGACACACAAUCUAAGGGACUGAUCUUUGUUCCCUGGCUUCAGUCGCAUGACAUGGGCCAGGCUAACAAAAGGUUAUACCCUUGUCUGAUGUCAGGGCUCACUAUCCAUCAGCUCCAAUGACUAAUGUCACAUAAGAGAGACCAGAUGAGUGAGGUAAUAUCUUUUAUUGGACCAACUUCUGUUGUGAGAGAGACAUGAGAUUGACAUGGCUACAACACAAUAAGUUACACCUCCUACUGGUUUGUUGGUGUGUAAGCUGAAGUAAUGAGUGUCUGGCUCUAAUCAUUUUCAGUGACCAGUCCAUUUCCUAAUGUAGAUCAGACUAUUAAGACCCAUGCAAACUGCAACUGCUAUUUAAACUUGGUGCUAGCAGCAUUCUACCAUGGUUUGUUGAUAAGGAUGGACAGGGAAUUUUUUGCUUACUUAGAUUGUAAGCUCUUCAGCCAGGGAUCAUCUAUCUUUUUCUCAUGUUUGUACAGCACCUAGCACACUGGGGCCCUGAUUGGGGAACUUAGACACUUUUGCAAUACUAAUAAUAUACAAUAAUAAAUAGCCAAACUAGCCUAUAGUCUACCCCAUAGGUGGUCCACAGCCAGGUUUUUAAACACUGCUCUCUACACAGCGAUAGGGUGACGGCCCUACUGAUCAGGGAAAUUAUGUCAGAGUCAUAGUAGCAAACACUGAUAUGACCUAUUGCAGUGAGGGCCUAGAUGUGAAGACUAAUUUUGGAAGAGUUAUCCAAAGUGAUUUUGAAGUUGUCAUCCGAAUAGCAGAAUUAUUAUUGAGUCAGUGGAUAAAGACGAAGUCAAAUAAUUCAAAACUCUAAAGGUGGUGGCAGGGAUUUGUUAAGAUAACUGAAGAAUAAUUAUUGCUAUAGGCCUCUGGCUAGAUAUGCAGCUAGAUUACAUGAUUAAAGUAGAAGGACUCAUGAGUUCUGCCUCCUCGUUUAACACCAAGUAACCAAUUCAAUCCUAUGAGGAAAUCUCUUGCUUUAAUACUCAGUGGGAGGCUGUCAUGCUCCAUGAGUUGGAUACUUGCUUGUACUAAAAUCACUAUACUAGGUACUGCAUAAUGAAGAGACAUGGAAAGUAAGGAUAUUAGUGAGUGGGAAACUUAACAGCAAGGAGAGUAACUGAAAUGGGAACCUGUUAGAGAUUAUCCACAGUUGUAGUGUAGGAUUUUCAAAAGCACCCAAUUCCCACAGAAAGUCAAUUGGAGUUGGCCACCUAAGUGCUUUUGAAAAUCCAACCCAUCAUGUCUACUUACUUGUAUUCAGAACCUGAAUAACCCAGCCUCUCAUGCAAGGAAAGGGAAAAAGAGGAGCCCGAUCUAUUUCUCUCUCUCCUACAAAGUUCACCAUUUUUACUUGACUCAUCCCCUGCCUAAACCGUCUCACCGCCUCUUUUGUACAUAGCUUCUUUCAUGUCAUUUCUUCCUUAUUUAAACUUCGCAAACUAUUAGUAUUUUGUAGAAAAACUAAAUAUACUGUGGGAGAAUUACUUUAACACACAAGAGUUCUUGCACCCUCUACAACCACAUUUUCACCUACACUUGUAGUGCGCAGCGCUAGGCUGCACAGAAUAGCAAUAUUACCACUAUGUCUUCAUGCAGGGUCGGCUACAGGCACCAGCGAAAGAAGCAGGUGCUUGAGGCGGCCAAUAGAAAGGGGCGGCACGUCUGAGUCUUCGGCGGCAGGUCCCUCAAUCCCUCUCUUCCUCUUUGAGCUGCCGCCGAAGAGGAAGAGAGGGAGCGAAGGACCCGCCACCAAAUUACCGCCGAAGGAUGAAGCGGCACAAUUGAGCUGCCGUGGAAGUGCCACCGAUCGGCUUUAUCUUCUUUUUUCUUUUCGCCGCUUGGGGCGGCAAAACAGCUGGAGCCGGCCCUGAUUCAUGAGCCAAUUAUCAAACAUGCUGAGCACCCUCACGUCCCAUUGAAUUCAUUUGGAGGCCUGGUUUAGCACUUCUGAAAAAUCAAGCCUAGUAACAAACAAACUAAACAUACUUACAUCCAUUCCUAGGUCUGUCCCAGAAAUAGGACAUCUUUAUUCCCAGGAUUUGUCUACAGAAAUAGCAUUGCUAAUAGCUAUACAAGGACCAUUUUUGUAAUGCUAUGGUUCAUCACUGUAUUUUAUGUUAAUACUGUAUCAGAAGUAAUAUGCAUGUGAUUAAUAAUAUCUUAACCUAAUGGCUGCAUUCUUACUGUAAGAUCUAACUAGAAAGAACCUCAUUAAAGAAACAGGGGCUACUAUUAUCCUACUGGGUAUGCUGCUUUUUGUGAAAUUACAUUGAGAGGUUUCUUUAUUCAGUAAUUUGAUACUAUGAAAUAAUGUGAUCCCCAAAACAUACACUCCCAAUGUAUAGAACAGACUUGAAUGGAAAUAUGGUGAAUAGCAUCUGAAGAAGUGGGUUUUUUACCCACGAAAGCUUAUGCCCAAAUAAAUCUGUUAGUCUUUAAGGUGCCACCAGACUCCUUGUUGUUUUUGUGAAUACAGACUAAAACGGCUACCCCCCUCAGAUACUUGAGAUAAUCUUUGGUUUUUCAUGUUUCUUUCUCUGGGACAUAGCUUGUCAAUUAAGUCUUCUACUCCUGUAGAUCUUACACAGUGUUGCUGUUAUCUGUGGAAUUUUUUUUUUAUUAUUUUAAAAACUAAGCCGAUAUAAACAUAGCUUAUUUUGACUGUAAUAAAAUAAACUGUGCUUUUUUUGGAAACACAAAUCCUUACCAUACAUUUCUUCUUCUUGGAGGUGCCUGACCGCAACUGUAUCCCAGUGAAUGACUCACUCAUGCAGGAGUACGGCUCAUGGAACGUUUUAUCUUCACUGAUUCUCUGCCAAAUAAAA